UUGAACGCUGGCGGCAUGCCUUACACAUGCAAGUCGAACGGCAGCACGGACUUCGGUCUGGUGGCGAGUGGCGAACGGGUGAGUAAUAUAUCGGAACGUGCCCUGGAGUGGGGGAUAACUAGUCGAAAGACUAGCUAAUACCGCAUACGAUCUAUGGAUGAAAGUGGGGGAUCGCAAGACCUCAUGCUCGUGGAGCGGCCGAUAUCUGAUUAGCUAGUUGGUGGGGUAAAAGCCUACCAAGGCAUCGAUCAGUAGCUGGUCUGAGAGGACGACCAGCCACACUGGGACUGAGACACGGCCCAGACUCCUACGGGAGGCAGCAGUGGGGAAUUUUGGACAAUGGGGGCAACCCUGAUCCAGCAAUGCCGCGUGAGUGAAGAAGGCCUUCGGGUUGUAAAGCUCUUUUGUCAGGGAAGAAACGGUUCUGGCUAAUACCCGGAGCUAAUGACGGUACCUGAAGAAUAAGCACCGGCUAACUACGU
rnacentral:rRNA from 1 species